GCCCCUAUCCGAACUACUCGAACCGAACCGAUACCCGAAAUGCCCAGGCCUAGUCACUAGAUAAAAAAAUUGUUGUUGAGAAGAUAGAUAGAUAGACUACUUUCAGAAACUAUAAAAUACUCCAUCCGUUUCAUUUUCAAUGUCGUUUUGGUUACGCACACAUAUUGAAGAAACAAUUAAUUUUGUAUAUUUUCUAUAUUAAAAACACAACUACCUAUACACCUAACCAUAUUUCAACCAAUAUAAAAAUAAAUUGUUUGAGGAAGCGGACACAAAGUGGGUCAGGGCUGCGGAUAGAGAGCAUAAAUCUUACAACAACAAAAAUCAUCGAAGUGGCCACCGUGGAGAGGAGGAAAGUUCUCGUCAUAAGAACUUCAGAAGGGAGCAGACAAGGACUCACUAUCAAGAUGAUCACACAAGACUUCCUGCAGGCCCGAGAGGUGAAAGAGCAGCUCGCAGUGAGGCUAGAACGGAAGGGAAUGAAGAAGGCGAGAUCAAAGAGAUGGAGAGGUCAAACCAUAAGGAGGAGAAGGUACAAGAUCAGGCACAACCUUCCCAACCUUUUCUUGUUGAGUUAAUGGAGACUCAAGGAGAACUACCUAAGGAGAUAGAGGAAGAUGUUAGAAUGCAGGAGGUUGCGACGGAGGAUCUCGAGGAAAAGAAGCAUAUGGAGGAUAUGAAAGGGAAAGACCGGGUUACUGGAGAGAUGGAGAAGAGGCAGGGAACACGUAAAAAGGCGGUUAAGCCGUCUCUAGGUGCAGCAGCUUCCAACACGUUGAAGAUGGCUCAGUUGAUGGCGGCCAAACGCACGGUAGCCAAACCAGGCAUUCGUCAUGGUGAUCACUCUAAGGGCGCAUAAGUUCCAAAACAUGAUCCUGCAAAGCAAGCGAAAGAUCCAUGAAUCAAGUAAUUAAGCUAGAGAAGUUACGUGGGCAUGUUAUGGUUUAUGGUUUUUUUUUACAGUUUCAAUAAGCUCUUUGAGCAUUUGCACUUGUUUUAUCUUUGAUUUUCUGUUGGUGUAUGGUUGUUUCUUGUUAUCUUGGGCUUUGGAAUGGUCUUUCAAUAAGGUUUCUAAAAGGAAUAAAAACGGUUUGUUAGUUUGGUACUGGUGGUAUCAUUUUUUGUUGCAAGCCGCAUACAUCAGAAUUUAUGGGAUUAGUUCUUUUUCUUGUAUGCUUUAUUAUCAAGAAAAGGCUUUAUGGUUUUCUUUAUCUACGUGGUAUUAGAUUAUUUCUGGUCAUUGGAGGCAAGCUUUGGCUAUCUCAUUAACAUUGACGGGAUUAGUGUGCUUGGUUUCAUCACACCAAACAUAUCAAAAAAUGUGUCGAACGGAAAUUUAUUGGUUUCAAGUAAAUGAGUGGUUUGGUAGUAUAAAAGAAGAGCGGCUUAGUUGGUUUUUUGGAAAUUUUAUUUGUUUUGGAGUUAGCAUAUUCGGUUUGAACAAGACAUUUGAAAAGGACAUGGCUACCGCUAGCGUUUGCUGUUCCAGUAACGUAUUGUCUUCUCACAAAAAACAAUAUGUAUUGUUUUGAAAUAGGAAUGAGAAUAUUUAUGAUACAAGGUCAAUUCCGGAUCUCUUUAUACCUGGCUGGUUAUAUCAUGGGUGCAAAUCCUUAACCUUUUUUUUAUGAAGGUUCUAAGUUGGAAUUGUCGAGGAAUGAGAAGUAAAUGAACUAUGAGUUAUCUGAAGGAGAUAUGACACAAACACAAACCAGAUUUUUUAUUUUUAUCAGAAACAAAGUAGGAGUUUGACUUUGUACAGAGAUUUCAACUUCACUCGGGAUUCGAUAAUCUGGUUACAGUGGAUCCAAAUGGAAUGAGUGGUGGAUUAGCACUUUAUUAUAAUAAUGAGUACCAGAUUAAGAUUCUAUAUUCAAGUAACCAGAUGAGAGAUGUGGAAGCAGUAGUGUUGGGAAAAAGGGUGUUUCUAACAUUUGUUUAUGGAGAUCCGGUCCAAAAAAAUGAGGGAACAAGUAUGGGAACGAUUAACUCGGUAUGGACUUUCAAGAUCUGAACCCUGGUUUAUUAUUGGAGAUUUAAAUGAGAUUACUGGAAAUCAUGAAAAAGAUGGAGGAGCUCUGAGAAAUGCGGAUUCGUUUAUUCCCUUUAAUGAUAUGAUAAGAAAUAGUGGCUUGUUGGAGUUUCCGGCCUGGGGUAACAAAAUGUCAUGGCAAGGGCGAAGAGGAAAAGAAAAAGGGACAAUUACGGUUAGAUGUCGUUUAGACCGAGCCUUAGCAAAUGAGGAGUGCCAUAUUCUAUUCUCAUGUUCGUAUACAGAAUAUUUAGGGAUGGUGGCGUCUGAUCAUCGGCCAGUGGUGGCGUUCCUAGAAGAUAAAGUUCCCAGGAGGAAAGGGCAAUUUUGUUUUGAUAAGAGAUGGGUUGGACAAGAGGGCCUUAUGGAAUCCAUUUCAAUGGGCUGGUCAGAUCAUAGUGUAAGAAGAGAGGAUGAUAUAGUGGCAAAAAUUAGCAACUGUCGCCACGAAAUUGCAAAAUGGCGGAAGAACAAUCCACCAUACGGAAAGGAAAAAAUAAUGAUUUACAGAAAGCUCUCGAAGAAGUACAAACAAAUAAUACUAUAUCUCAGGAGGAUAUUGUGUAGGUGUCCAGGAAGUUACAAGAGACAUAUAAGGAUGAAGAAGAUUAUUGGUAUCAGAAAAGUAUGAAUAUGUGGUAUUCUUCUGGGGAUCUUAAUACAAAAUUUUAUCACGCUUUAACUAAGCAAACACGAGUUCGUAAUAGGAUCGAUGGAUUACAUGAUGCUUCGGGGAAUUGGAUUACAGAGGAUAAUGGGGUGGAGAAAGUGGUUGUAGACUAUUUUGAAGAUCUAUUCAGUACCACUUCACCUACAGAGUUCGAAAUUUUUCUCGCAGAGGUAAUAAAGGGUAUCACUCCUCAGAUGAACCAACGAUUGUUGAGGUUAGCGACUGAGAGUGGGUUAAAGAGGCUUUAUUUAUGAUGCACCCAGAAAAGGCACCAGGGCCGGACGGCAUGACAGCUCUUUUUUUUCAACAUUCCUGGCAUAUUAUUAAGAAUGAUUUGGUAGAAAUGGUAAACAAUUUUUUGGUUUCCGGAGAAAUGGACCCAAGGUUAAAUAUUACUAAUAUCUGUAUCAUUCCAAAAACGGAGAGGCCAACAAAAAUGACAGAGCUGAGGCCAAUUAAUCUAUGUAAUGUCGGGUCUAAAAUUAUAUCGAAGGUAUUGUGUCAGCGGCAAAAAUUAUGUCUUCCGUCCCUCAUCUCAGAAACUCAAUCGUCCUUUGUGGCUAGGCGGUUGAUAACUGAUAACAUUCUCAUAGCCCAUGAGAUGUUUCAUGGGUUACAGACUAAUAAAGCAUGUCAAGGAAAGUAUAUGGCAAUUAAAACGGAUAUGAGUAAAGCGUAUGAUCGAGUAGAAUGAGAUUUUAUUAAGGCUUUACUAGAAAAGAUGGGCUUUGAUCUUCAAUGGAUUAAGCUAAUGAUGGUGUGUAUAUCAUCAGUUCAAUAUCGGGUUCUACUGAAUGGCCAACCACGUGGUCUCAUUAUUCCACAGAGUGGGUUAAGACAAGGAGAUCCUUUAUCUCCUUAUCUAUUUAUACUGUGUGCUGAGGCUUUGAUUGUAAAUAUUAAAAAGGCGGAGAGUGAGAAACAUCUGACAGGUAUGAAGGUAGCCAGAGCAUGUCCAUCAAUUUCUCAUUUGCUUUUUGCGGAUGAUAGUCUAUUCUUCUGUAAAGCCCAAAGAGAAGAAUGUCAAUCUAUUCUUAGGAUCUUAAAGGAAUACGAGAUGGUAUCAGGUCAACUCAUUAAUUUUGAUAAGUCUUCGAUCCAAUUUGGGCAUAAGAUCGAGAAAUCAAUUAGGCAGAAAUUAAGGGAUAUUUUGGGUAUUCAGAAUCUUGGAGGAAUGAAAACUUAUUUAGGAUUACCAGAAAAUCUUGGGGGCUCAAAAAUUCAAGUUUUCAGCUUUGUGCAAGAUAGGCUAAACAAAAGAGUUAACGGGUGGACUUUUAAGUUUUUCAAAAAAGGUGGAAAAUAAGUGAUUAUUAAAUCAGUAGUUACGGCAUUACCAAAUCAUGUGAUGUCUUGCUAUCGAUUACGUAAGGUAACCGCAAAAAAAUUGACAAGCGCGGUAGCACAAUUUUGGUGGAGUCCAGGGGGAAGCACAAGAGGAAUGCAUUGGAAAUCAUGGGACAACGUAUGUGUUAGCAACGAGGAAGGAGAAUUGGGGUUCAAAGAAAUCACUAAUUUUAACACAGCGAUGCUUGGUAAACAUUUAUGGCGUUUGAUUGAGAAGCCUAAUAGUUUAUUCUCUCGCUUUUUCAAAGGUUGGUAUUACAGGAAUGCAUCACCCUUGGAACCGAUUCGCUCACUCUCCGUCAUAUGGCUGGCGGAGUAUCACAUCUGAUAAAUAUCUGGUAAGCAAAGGACUAAUUAAACGGGUGGGAUCAGGAUCAUCUAUGUCGGUAUGGAAUGAUCCCUGGCUCCCAACCACUCGCCCGAGACCAGCUAAUAAAAACCAACACAAUCAUUACCCAGACCUCACAGUGGAUUAUCUCAUUGAUCCUACUUCGCGAAAUUGGAACUUGCAGGCAAUUCGGGCUUUAGUGGACCCACAUGAUGUGAAAAUUAUAGAAAAUAUACCUCUGAGUAGAACCCAGAUGGUAGAUAGAGAUGGUUGGCAUUUCACAAAUAAUGGGAAAUAUACGGUCAAAUCAAGAUAUCAGGUACAACGGGUUUACCCAGACAGGGAAAGAUCACCAGUAAUGUUUGGACCUUCAGUAGACGCUUUGAAGUCAUUCUGCUGGAAAAUACAGUGUCCACCAAAGAUAUAACAUUUUCUAUGGCAAUUGGUAACAAGAUGUGUAGCAGUCAAGAAAAAUUUGGAAGCGUGAGGGAUAACUAGUGAUAUAUGUUGUGCAAGAUGCAGAGCUGACGAGGAAUCAAUUAACCAUGUGUUUUUUGAAUGUCCUUCAGCACUACAGGUUUGGGCUCUUACAAAGAUAUAAUCAAAUCCAGCUAUUUUCCCAACAAGGUCUCUUUUUACAAACAUGGAUCAUCUUUUCUGGAGAGUUUCUCCGCAAUUAGAUGAUCAUCAGUUUGCAUGGAUUCUAUGGUACAUCUGGAAAGGAAUGAAUAAUAAUUUUUUUAGCAAUCUGGAUAUUGAUCCUAUGGAUACGCUUAAAUUGGCAGAAAUAGAGUCCACACUUUGGACUGAAGCGAAGAUAGCAAAGGAAUAGAGGACAGUAUCACAGGCAGAGGUUAUGUCAUUACCGUUAAUCUCAGGUAGAAGGUGUUUCACAGAUGGUUCCUGGAAAGAGAAUGAUGGUUUCUCCGAACAGGGUUGGUUCAGUACUUUAGAAGGUUUUGAUGGGCUGAUGGGGGCGAGGAAUGUUCGGGCUAGUCUCUCUCCUCUCCAUGCGGAGAUGGAAGCACUACUCUGGGCAAUGGAAUGUAUGAGGAACUUACGUCAGUUUCAGGUUACGUUUGCAACGGAUUGUUCUUAAUUGGUGAAGAUGGUUUCAGAACCAGAAGAAUGACCAGCUUUCGCAAGUUAUUUAGAAGAUAUUAAAGUUCUGAAAGAAAAUUUUUUCUGAUCAGAGAUUGUCCAUGUACCAAGAACGCAAAAUAGGCGGACAGCCUAGCAGGUUGUGUCAGGAAUCAGCCGUCUUUCGUCGUUCACAUGGAUCAAUAUCUUCCAGUUUGGUUUACAGAGUCUGUAUGAGUCUGUUUAAGUCGAUGAAAAAAAAAAAAAAACUUGCUAGAAGGUGACUGUCCAUAAUUAAAAAUUGGAAAACAAGAAAAGAUAGUAAAAUAAUAUGUGGAUAUGCUUUGGUACGAAAAGUAAAGAGUCAACAUUGAUUUGGAAAGAAGUUGGAGACCACAGGUCCGCAAGUGAAGUCCAUAGAGUUCGUUGGCAUUUUAAGGAGACAGUAAAACGUGGGGAUAAAUUUUAGCACCUUAGCUACUAAAAUUUUAAUAAACGCAUUUGGUAUUUUACUAAAAUAAAUUUCUUACAAAAGAUACUUCUUUUAAUACAUGAACUAGCACAUGAACUACAACUGUACGUGAUAGAAUAUAGAAAACGUUAUGUUAAACCUAGUAUAUUUCUUAACUUCGUUGCAAUCCAAUCUCUGAAUACGUAAACAGAAUACUCUAAGUCAAUAAAAGCAAUCAAUUUCUUAAAUGAACCUAAUAGCUUCUGGUGAUCUGGCUUUAAGUGAUUAAACUAUUUGAUGAGUAGGAAUGUUCGGUUAGUUGGUUUAACGAUGAUUUACGUACUUUGUGUCUGCUGUCAGUAUUGACUUGUUCCGAGACCAAUUACCUCUGCUGUACGCAACUGAUUGAUGCCGCUUAAUCGACAAAAGUUACACAUAUGAUGUCUUUUGAUAUUUUCAAGAAUAAACGAAUUGGAAAAUAAAUCUAAAUCUUCCUUUUUUUUUUAAAUCUGAAUUUUUUUUAUUUUACAGUAUCUACUAACGAAUAUAAAAAUAUAUUAUUUUAAAAUUAUCAAAACUUUGAUCAAACGAAAAAUUUAAAUCAACUGAAAUAUAUUUAUUUGGUGGAUGAAAAAAUAUUUAGAAUUUACGACACAUUGCAGAUAAAAAUGAUGAUAUGAACGCAAAAUAUAACCCAGGACCUCGUAGUCCAGCGGUACUGCCUCUUAGGGGGCUGGAAAGUAGGCUGUUCGACUUGCGGGGAGGGGGAGGCGUGUCCAGGACCGCAAGACCCAAACGAAGACUGGCGCCGGGCCUAGGUGGUGGACCGCAAGGUCAACACCUGGUUAA